AUGUUGGAAAUCAUAAGUAACAUCCACCAGGAAAAUGACAAUAAAGAUUGCUGGCAAUUUCUCUGGAAAGGAAACAAAUACUCCAACAGAAAGAUUUAUCUGGAACUUAUUGGAAACCCACCAAAGGCAGCACCACCAUUUCAAUGGAUUUGGAAAUCAUGCAACCUGCCCAAACAAAAAAAUUUCUUCUGGUUGCUACUGCUUGAUAGAUUAAAUACUAGAGAUCUACUAAUCAGGAAGAAUUUUCAAAUACAAAACAGAAGAUGUGUUCUAUGUGAUGAUGAACCCAAUGAAUACCUACAACAGCUCUUUUUUGUAUGUGACUUCAGCACAAAUUUCUGGGCUGCAAUAGGUAUGGAAUGGAAUACAGAUCUUAAUACUAUUGAAAUGCUAAUGGAGGGCAAAAGCAGAGAUAAUGGCCAAGGAUUUAAGGAAAAGAUGAUAGCAGGGUGUUGGAGCAUACGGAAGCACAGGAAUGGCAUUAUCUUUGACAACAAUAACAGAAGUAUGACUCACUGCUUAUCAAGUUUCAAAGAGCAUUUUAGCACCAUUAUCAAGAAAGCAAGACCUAGUUUAAAGGAUGGGAUGCAAUCCUGGUUGGAUACAUUGUAA
rnacentral:rRNA from 1 species